rnacentral:tRNA from 1 species
GUCGGGAUAGCUCAGUUGGUAGAGCANAGGACUGAAAAUCCUCGUGUCAC